rnacentral:rRNA from 1 species
AUUGAACGCUGGCGGCAGGCCUAACACAUGCAAGUCGAGCGAGCGGCGGCCGGGUGAGUAAUGUAUGGGGAUCUUCCCGAUAGAGGGGGAUAACUACUGGACACGGUGGCUAAUACCGCAUACUAUCGGAUGAACCCAUGUGGGAUUAGCUAGUAGGUGGGGUAAAGGCUCACCAAGGCAACGAUCUCUAGCUGGUGUGAGAGGAUGAUCAGCAACACUGGGACUGAGACACGGCCCAGACUCCUACGGGAGGCAGCAGUGGGGAAGAUUGCAAAAUGGGCGAAAGCCGGAUGCAGACAUGCCGCGUGUAUGAAGAAGGCCUUAGGGUUGUAAAGUACUUUCAGCGGGGAAGCGUUACCCGCAGAAGAAGCACCGGCUAACUCCGUGACAGCGGCCGCGGUAAUAC